UACGUAGGGUGCAAGCGUUGCCCGGAUUUAUUGGGCGUAAAGGGCGCGUAGGCGGCUCGGCACGUCCGUUGUGAAAUACGCCCCGGGCUCAACUGGGGACCGGGGUCAGCGGAUACGGCCGAGCUUGAGCAAGCGUAGGGGCAAUGGAAUUCCCGGUGUAGUGGUGGAAUGCGUAGAUAGUCGGGAGGAACACCAGUGGC
rnacentral:rRNA from 1 species